rnacentral:rRNA from 1 species
AACACGUAUCCAACCUGCCGUCUACUCUUGGACAGCCUUCUGAAAGGAAGAUUAAUACAAGAUGGCAUCAUGAGUCCGCAUGUUCACAUGAUUAAAGGUAUUCCGGUAGACGAUGGGGAUGCGUUCCAUUAGAUAGUAGGGCGGGUAACGGCCCACCUAGUCUUCGAUGGAUAGGGGUUCUGAGAGGAAGGUCCCCCACAUUGGAACUGAGACACGGUCCAAACUCCUACGGGAGGCAGCAGUGAGGAAUAUUGGUCAAUGGGCGAGAGCCUGAACCAGCCAAGUAGCGUGAAGGAUGACUGCCCUAUGGGUUGUAAACUUCUUUUAUAAAGGAAUAAAGUCGGGUAUGGAUACCCGUUUGCAUGUACUUUAUGAAUAAGGAUCGGCUAACUCCGUGCCAGCAGCCGCGGUAAUACGGAGGAUCCGAGCGUUAUCCGGAUUUAUUGGGUUUAAAGGGAGCGUAGAUGGAUGUUUAAGUCAGUUGUGAAAGUUUGCGGCUCAACCGUAAAAUUGCAGUUGAUACUGGAUAUCUUGAGUGCAGUUGAGGCAGGCGGAAUUCGUGGUGUAGCGGUGAAAUGCUUAGAUAUCACGAAGAACUCCGAUUGCGAAGGCAGCCUGCUAAGCUGCAACUGACAUUGAGGCUCGAAAGUGUGGGUAUCAAACAGGAUUAGAUACCCUGGUAGUCCACACGGUAAACGAUGAAUACUCGCUGUUUGCGAUAUACAGCAAGCGGCCAAGCGAAAGCGUUAAGUAUUCCACCUGGGGAG